rnacentral:rRNA from 1 species
AAUCAACGCUGGCGGCGUGCCUCAGACAUGCAAGUCGAACGAUUAAAGCUCCCUUCGGGGAGUGCAUAAAGUGGCGCACGGGUGAGUAACACGUAAGUAAUCUACCUCUGAGUGGGGAAUAACAUCGGGAAACCGAUGCUAAUACCGCAUAAUGCAGCGGCACCGCAAGGUGACAGUUGUUAAGGAUUUAUCGCUUGGAGAGGAGCUUGCGGCAGAUUAGCUAGUUGGUAAGGUAAUGGCUUACCAAGGCUACGAUCUGUAACCGGUCUAAGAGGACGGUCGGUCACACUGACACUGAAUAACGGGUCAGACUCCUACGGGAGGCAGCAGUCGGGAAUUUUGGGCAAUGGGCGAAAGCCUGACCCAGCAACGCCGCGUGAAGGAUGAAGUAUUUCGGUAUGUAAACUUCGAAAGAAUGGGAAGAAUCAAUGACGGUACCAUUUAUAAGGUCCGGCUAACUACGUGCCAGCAGCCGCGGUAAUACGUAGGGACCAAGCGUUGUUCGGAUUUACG